UCGGUGCCAUGAGUACAUUCAUAUUUUGUUCCCUUUGUGUAGUGUCUUAUCGUGUUGCAUUUUGUCCUGUUUGGUCAAUGGGGUAGAGAGCAAGCCACAUAACCAUACACCUAGAGAGGAGACUCCACCCAUGAACAGGUCAGUAACACUCCAGACCCACCUACAGAGGCAGGAAGAAGGUGGCAGUGAGGGAGAGAGCCUGUGUGGGUGAGUG